GUUGUUUUUUCUUUCUUUCUCCUUUUAUUGACUAUUCAAUUAAUUUAUAUAUAUAUCCAAUACAUAAAUGUAAAAAAAAAAAGUUAAAAAGGUGAAAUAUAACAUAAUAUAUAUAAUGACAUAUUGACAGAGAGAAACAAAAAUUAUCAAUUGUCUAGUGCUGACUUGAUUGCAUUUCUAAUUUUUCACCCUUGUUAUAGUUCAUGUUUAAUCUGUGGAAGAAAAUACAACAAUCCAAUCAAAUUCAUAUCACAGUGGAAAUCUUUUUCAAAAAGAAGGAAGUCAAAUUGGGCUGGUAAAUUUGAAUAUACAAGAAACUAUUGCCCUGAAGAAUGUGACACUAUUCUUUGGUAUUUAAGGUGCAGCUAAGUCAAUGUUGCUCAUUCAAAACCUGUACCUUUGUGGUGUUAAACAUGUAAUAAAUAGUUGUUUUUUUGUUAUUCAACUUAACAAGAACUAUAUUAUCUAGAAUAUUAGUAUAAUAAUUAAAUAGUUUAAAAUUUUAAAAAAUAGAAAUUGUAAUGGUGUGUCUCAUUUUGUAUGUUUCAGCUGGAAAUGUUAUGUUAAUGUUAUGUUAAUAAAAACAAUUCACUCAUGUAUUCAGCCAGUCAUCAAAGACUGUUGCCCAGGGUGUGGCACGAGGAGCCAUACAUGAGCUAGGUAGUUGGGAAUUUCAGGCUUUUGACUUUGCCAAAGAAUAGGGCUGUCAUUCACCUUUCCCAAAUACCACACACCCC